GAUAAACGCUGGCGGCGUGCCUAAUACAUGCAAGUCGAGCGAACGGACGAGAAGCUUGCUUCUCUGAUGUUAGCGGCGGACGGGUGAGUAACACGUGGAUAACCUACCUAUAAGACUGGGAUAACUUCGGGAAACCGGAGCUAAUACCGGAUAAUAUUUUGAACCGCAUGGUUCAAAAGUGAAAGACGGUCUUGCUGUCACUUAUAGAUGGAUCCGCGCUGCAUUAGCUAGUUGGUAAGGUAACGGCUUACCAAGGCAACGAUGCAUAGCCGACCUGAGAGGGUGAUCGGCCACACUGGAACUGAGACACGGUCCAGACUCCUACGGGAGGCAGCAGUAGGGAAUCUUCCGCAAUGGGCGAAAGCCUGACGGAGCAACGCCGCGUGAGUGAUGAAGGUCUUCGGAUCGUAAAACUCUGUUAUUAGGGAAGAACAUAUGUGUAAGUAACUGUGCACAUCUUGACGGUACCUAAUCAGAAAGCCACGGCUAACUACGUGCCAGCAGCCGCGGUAAUACGUAGGUGGCAAGCGUUAUCCGGAAAUAUUGGGCGUAAAGCGCGCGUAGGCGGUUUUUUAGUCUGAUGUGAAAGCCCACGGCUCAACCGUGGAGGGUCAUUGGAAACUGGAAAACUUGAGUGCAGAAGAGGAAAGUGGAAUUCCAUGUGUAGCGGUGAAAUGCGCAGAGAUAUGGAGGAACACCAGUGGCGAAGGCGACUUUCUGGUCUGUAACUGACGCUGAUGUGCGAAAGCGUGGGGAUCAAACAGGAUUAGAUACCCUGGUAGUCCACGCCGUAAACGAUGAGUGCUAAGUGUUAGGGGGUUUCCGCCCCUUAGUGCUGCAGCUAACGCAUUAAGCACUCCGCCUGGGGAGUACGACCGCAAGGUUGAAACUCAAAGGAAUUGACGGGGACCCGCACAAGCGGUGGAGCAUGUGGUUUAAUUCGAAGCAACGCGAAGAACCUUACCAAAUCUUGACAUCCUUUGACAACUCUAGAGAUAGAGCCUUCCCCUUCGGGGGACAAAGUGACAGGUGAUGCAUGGUUGUCGUCAGCUCGUGUCGUGAGAUGUUGGGUUAAGUCCCGCAACGAGCGCAACCCUUAAGCUUAGUUGCCAUCAUUAAGUUGGGCACUCUAAGUUGACUGCCGGUGACAAACCGGAGGAAGGUGGGGAUGACGUCAAAUCAUCAUGCCCCUUAUGAUUUGGGCUACACACGUGCUACAAUGGACAAUACAAAGGGCAGCGAAACCGCGAGGUCAAGCAAAUCCCAUAAAGUUGUUCUCAGUUCGGAUUGUAGUCUGCAACUCGACUACAUGAAGCUGGAAUCGCUAGUAAUCGUAGAUCAGCAUGCUACGGUGAAUACGUUCCCGGGUCU
rnacentral:rRNA from 1 species